rnacentral:lncRNA from 1 species
GUUUUGAGACAGAGUCUCACUCUGUCACCCAGGCUGGAGUGCAGUNNNUGCGGGUUGAGGAUAAAUUCCUACCUAAGGUGAUUCUCAGGAGAUGUGGGUGGGACCCUCUGCUUUGAGGGAGGCCUAGGUGCCAAGGAGUCUUAAUAGAGCGGAGUAGGCGGGGCCUGGGGUAUUCCGAAAGGAUCUGCCUGGAGGAGUGGCCCGGGAAAUCGGGACCAACGACGGCACUGGCGAGAUGGUGGCGGUGAAAGCCCUCAAGGCAG